rnacentral:tmRNA from 1 species
GGGGGCGCCAAGGUUUCGACGGGAUGCACAGCGGGUGGGGGAAGCGAGCCGAGAUCUCCGCCAUCUCGUUAAUCGCGGAACAAACACAAACGCCGAGAGCAAUCUCGCACUCGCUGCCUAGUCUCUAGGCAGCCGUCCGCUUCGGGCUCGCCGACGGUCCGGAGAUCGGGCGCCAACCCAGUCGGCUACCAACCGGUGAUCGCUCGGUAACCCCGGGAGGGAAUGCCGAACUGAGCUAGCCGAGGCGGGGCCUGUGCGUGAGCCCCGCCGAGGCGAAGCCCAAUCACGCACUACGCUCGUAGAAGUCCCACCAGCUGCUUCUCGGACGCGGGUUCGAUUCCCGCCGCCUCCACCA